rnacentral:snRNA from 1 species
GUCGUCAUCAAUGAUGGGAUUAG